CACGAAGGGACCUUGGAGGCAAAACUCGCGAGACAGGAUCUGCUCAGCAACAUCAAGUUAGAAGAAGGAGAAAUCAUUACACACUUUCACUCAAGAAUAAAGGAACUCAUCACCGGACUCACGAAUCUCGGAGAAAAGUCCAUGAAACGAGAUAUGCAGAUCCGAAGGAGCCAAGACACAACAUUGCCUUAAAGCGUACAAAAAGAAAAAGAAAAGUAAGAUGCUACCACUGCAAUGAAGAAAGACAUGUGAAAAAUAACUGCCCAAAAUUGAAGAGCAAGGACAAGGAAAAGAACAAGAAGGCAGCCUAGAACAAAUAUAGAACUCUAAAGGCGACGUGGGACGAAACGUCGUCCGAAUCAGAGAUCGAAGCAAUCGCCGGACUUGCCCUAGUGGCAAGUCACCAAGAAGAUGACGGCGAAGCAAGCUUGUCC